GCCAAUAACACUUCAAGCUGUGUGCUGCUGUCCAAGGCAUGCAUUGUCACCGGAUCUGGGUAUGUGUGCAAGAUUUGAAAUUGAUUGUACAACGGGAAGGAGACUAACCUUUGAUUAGAAGAUUUGACCUCGACAAACAUAGGAGUCAAGCAAGUAAAACCGUUGAAUAAGAUUAACCAUGUCGUACAACGUUCCACAAAGUCAGAGGGAGACUUCCGAAGUCAAAUUAACGUCGACCUUCAAGAAGAUUGCCAACGCUCUAACUCCCCUCUCUCACUGGCAAGCUUGAUGAGAAAAUGCACCCGCAGAAGAGGGCACUGAGACUGUGACUCAUUCCUAUGG